ACUUUCUGUACAGCGAUAUCCUGUGUACUGUAUGUCCUCUGACAGCAUCUAGAAGUUCCUGCUAGGAACUAUCUGGUGGAAAGGGAAGCCUUGGGAAUAAAGUACUGAGAAAAUCCCAAGAUGAGCUAAAGGAACAAAGAGAACUACAUCUGGAAAACCGAGAGGUCUCCAUGCUUUGAAGAAGUCUACCAACUGUCAGAAAGAAAAAAGGAUAUAGAACAACACAGCAUUAAUAACUUAUUUUCCUAUCCAAAUCCAGUAUAGAUUAUUUAAAAAGAAUUAAAACAGCAAUUAAGGUGUCAACGUUAAGUCACAGAUUCCACUUUCAGACCAAUAUUUAUACGAUUCAGAAUUGUUGUACCUACACCAUAUAAUCUGAGGCUGAAAGAGGCAGAGGGCUAACUGUGAGUGACUGAUGGAGCACUUCUAGACAGCUAAAUAUCUCGUUCCUAUAGAAGAAGUUUCAACUGAAAUUUAUAGCUUUAUACAUCAAAUUGAUUUAAGGUAAAAAGCUGUAGUAAUAUGAAAACUGCCAACAGUAAUUUUCUUUCUUCCUUCUGCUAGUUAGGAACAAAUAUGAAAACAUUCUAAAAUACGAAAUGAGCCCUUUGUUGGUGAGAGUAUUGCAAUUACUUCUCAUUGAGGCACCAUAACAGAAACUCUUUCCUGCAUUUCUCUUUCCCU
rnacentral:lncRNA from 1 species